rnacentral:lncRNA from 1 species
AUGCCACAAAGAAACUUAGUAACGAACCUGUUCUAGAAUGUAUGGUUGCACAUCAUGGAAGCAGUUGUCAGCGCUUUGACAAAUGGACCUGCAGCUGUCAGACAGCUGUGUGCUGCACUGGUUGCUCAUCUACAGAGGGUGUAGAGAUGCCUCAGACACCCUGGUCUAAGUCACUUUUCAGAACCUCUCCCAUGUGCAGGGCUGUAGUGCCCAGCAUGAUUCUCUUGUGGAGAGCCGGCCUUUGCACCUUCAUGUGCCUCAGAAAAAGUGGGGAAUAAGCAGCCAUCAGCAACACGAAGCUUGCAGUAUCCACAUGGAAUCAUAGUAUCCUUUAGGUUGGAAAAGACAUACUGAAACCAGAACUGACUCAGGAGAUGUUAACGGCCACUAGAAGAUGUCUUCCAAUAAGUGUGAUCUGGAAAGAUAAAAGGGCUCACUCUUUGACCUUCUUCACAGACAAGAAGGUCUUGUGCCUGGGUUCAAUAAAAAGGUGCAAAAAUCUGAUGGCUAUAAUUCU